rnacentral:rRNA from 1 species
AUGGGCCUACGGGGCGCAGCAGUCGGGAAUAUUGCGCAAUGGAGGAAACUCUGACGCAGUGACGCCGCGUAUGGGAAGAAGGUUUUCGGAUUGUAAACCAUUGUCGUUAGGGAAGAAGAAGUGACAGUACCUAAGGAGGAAGCUCCGGCUAACUAUGUGCCAGCAGCCGCGGUAAUACAUAGGGAGCGAGCGUUAUCCGGAUUUAUUGGGUGUAAAGGGUGCGUAGACGGGAAUACAAGUUGGUUGUGAAAGCCCUCGGCUUAACUGAGGAACUGCAACCAAAACUAACAUUCUUGAGUGCAGGA